UACGGAGGGAGCUAGCGUUUUUCGGAUUUACUGGGCGUAAAGAGCGCGUAGGCGGUCGAUUAAGUUGGAAGUGAAAUCCCGAAGCUUAACUUCGGAACUGCUUCCAAAACUGAUCAACUAGAGAUUGGUAGGGGAUGAUGGAAUUCCUGGUGUAGAGGUGAAAUUCUUAGAUAUCAGGAGGAACACCGGUGGCGAAAGCGAUCAUCUGGGCCAUAUCUGACGCUGAGGCGCGAAAGCGUGGGGAGCAAAC
rnacentral:rRNA from 1 species